CCUACGGGCGGCAGCAGUGGGGAAUAUUGCACAAUGGGGGAAACCCUGAUGCAGCGACGCCGCGUGAGUGAAGAAGUAUUUCGGUACGUAAAGCUCUAUCAGCAGGGCAGAAAAUGACGGUACCUGCUUAAGAAGCCCCGGCUAACUACGUGCCAGCAGCCGCGGUAAUACGUAGGGGGCAAGCGUUAUCCGGAUUUACUGGGUGUAAAGGGAGCGCAGACGGCAGUGCAAGUCUGGAGUGAAAGCCCGGGGCUCAACCCCGGAACUGCUCUGGAAACUGUGCGGCUAGAGUGCUGGAGGGGCAAGCGGAAUUCCUAGUGGAGCGGUGAAAUGCGUAGAUAUUAGGAGGAACACCAGUGGCGAAGGCGGCCUGCUGGACAGUAACUGACGUUGAGGCUCGAAGGCGUGGGGAGCAAACAGGAUUAGAUACCCUGGUAGUC
rnacentral:rRNA from 1 species